AGUCCUGUAGUGUAUUCAUAUCAGAUUGCAAACCUGAAGAAGCGGAUGACACCGCCGGGGCUU
rnacentral:tRNA from 1 species